rnacentral:tRNA from 1 species
AGGGACGUAGCUCAGUGGGAGAGCGCCUGUCUGACGCACAGGAGGUCGGCGGUUCGAAACCGCCCGUCCCUACCA